rnacentral:rRNA from 1 species
UACGUAGGGUCCGAGCGUUGUCCGGAAUAUUGGGCGUAAAGGGCUCGUAGGCGGUUUGUCACGUCGGGAGUGAAAACUCAGGGCUCAACCCUGAGCGUGCUUCCGAUACGGGCAGACUAGAGGUAUGCAGGGGAGAACGGAAUCCUGGUGUAGCGGUGGAACUGCGCAGAUAUCAGGAGGAACACCGGUGGCGAAGGCGGUUCUCUGGGCAGUAAACUGACGCUGGAGGAGCGAAAGCGUGGGGAGCGA